ensembl:processed_transcript Gm16758 predicted gene, 16758
AUUAAAAAUAUUAAUUAUAAAUCCCUCCCUCUCCAAGCCCACUCCCACCGGGAUGUUUCUCCUCUGACCCUCCUGGGCAAACAUAACCUGUUAAGGAGGAGUGGAAAGCACAAGGUGUUGCCUGGUAGGUGGGGAGGGGCGCCAUCAGCCUGACUCUUCUCAGUUUGCUUAUGGUUCAUCCAGGCUACCCGCCCUUGUUCCUGGCUCCUUUGUUUCUUUCCUACUCUUACUAGGGGUGGGAGUCCAAUGCUCAGUUAAGGGUGUCCAAACUCAACUCAGCAGAUGCCAACUAGAGAUUUAUUGAAUGAAUGAAUGAUGUCCAUCGUGGGCCAGAUCCCCCAGUCCAAAGCUACCUUCCACGUGCUCAGCCUUCCGUUAACUCGAAGGGAAAUGCAUGAUAUGAUCCACAGACGUCCAAUGUCUUCCCACCUACCUCUCCCACUCAGUCUGAAAGGGAAGUGGUAUCAGAUGAGGGGGUGAUGUAUUCCAGGCCUGCUGCCUGGGACUGAACCUCAGAAUUGACAGUGGCAGCCAACCUCAGAGAACGCAGAGGACCACCAGGCUUGUGGUCCAGCCCUAAGCUGUCUGGGCCUCACUGUCACCCAGAUAUCAAGCAGAGAUGCUAAGGAUCCUAAGUAGCCAGGCUGAACAGCUUUGUGCCUUCCUCCUAAGGUUCCCAAGCUGCAGAGCCUGCAAGGGAAGCAAGGAAGAGUGCAAGUUCGAAGAGACUCGGCCUGGCCCCAAUGGUGCCGUCGCCUCCUGGAGAAGUAGAUUGCGUCUGAAAAUCAUACGGUGGCAGAUGUGAAUAAUGAGGCUACUCCCUGACUGGCUUGCCACUGGGCCAUGGUCAUACCCUGCCUCACUGUGUGACCUUCCUGUCUCUGGGCUCCAGAAUAGUCUGCUAGAUAUCAACAUUGGUGGGCUACCUCCUGAAAUUCCUCACAUCGUCAGACUCCAAGGCCUGUGAGCUGUGACUGAGGCAGGACAUGUACAACACACCAUUUCUCAUCUGAGAGUCGCAACUUGCACUGUCCCAACCUCCCCCCCGCCCCCGCCCACACUCUUGCUGGACAGUAAUGUAGGUAAGGGGAGCCAACUUUAAAGAGCCGGGCAGUGGUGGCACACACCUUUAAUCCCAGCACAUGGGAGGCAGAGGCAGGCAGAUUUCUGAGUUCAAGGCCAUCCUGGUAUAUGAGUGAGUUCCAGGACAGCCAGGGCUACACAGAGAAACCCUGACUCAACAACAACAACAACAACAACAACAACAACAACAAAGUAGAUGGUCUCAUUCUCUGAGCAGGCAUAAGGGACAGCGGAAUACGAGACUCCAUGUCUCUACUGAAUGGGUGAGGGAAGACAAGAGGCAGGAGAAUUUCAUAAUUUAUUUACUCAAGUCUUUUACAUAGCAUCGUCUUAGACAUCCCAUUGUGUAGAAGGUGCCAGUGAGUGAAGACCUGGCCGGUCACCAGAGAGUACCAGUCUAAGGGAAGUAAAGUUUGUCCACAGGGAGCCCCAUUUGAGGGGACACAGACUGUCCACAGGGAGCCCCAUCUGAGGGGACACAGACUGUCCACAGGGAGCCCCAUUUGAGGGGACACAGACUGUCCACAGGGAGGGAAGAGGCACAACCCUGGACCUGGGCUCCAGCCUAAGAGGGGAGACCGUUUCCCACCCUGGUGAAGAAAUAGAUGAAAACACAGACUUAGAAAUGGACCAUAACCUAAAGAGGAAAGGCCUGGCCUGGUGAAUAACUCUGUUCUCUUACUGGAAGAUAACUUCUUGCCCCUUCUGCCUGGCUGCCUGCAGCUCCUCUGUUUUACCACCCCAGGGAAGCAGCCUGGUGUAUCAUUUGGGUACACUCUCUCUCAAUGCAAAUAUCUCUCUGGGCUCCUGGGGACUGGGCCUGCUUGAUGGCCAGUGUCUGACACUGGCAGCUGGCAACAGGCACAGGGAGGAGAAUCUGCUCUCUUUGCAGUACCAGACUCCAUUCAGGCAAGAAGCCUGUCCCCACCCACUCCGAUAGCCUUCCAGCGAAGCCAUCUCAGACCGUAGGACUGCCUGGCAUCUGCAGAUCUGCUACUUUCUGGAACCCCAGCUGCCACUUGGUCUUGGAUGUCACCCAUGUCCCAGGCCUAGAAUAGUCAUCAAUGUCUUGAGCUGAAGUAUAUAGACAUUUCUAUGUGUCCUGGUCACGUGAGGCUGCUCACAGCGCCCAGAGCAGGGCAGAAUACACAGCAGUCACCUGUAUACUUGUGAGCCAAGCCAACCACAGCAACCAACAAAAAUCGGCUUUGGACGAGGCCUGAAUCACCCAGUUGAAGUUUGGAUUAGGGGCUAAUGCAAAUGCCCGUCUUUUAAGAAGAUGUGUCUGAGUCUUAUGCAGCCUGGUGAAGCUGAUUCUUGGAGAAAGGAAUCAACUAGAUGAGGGGCAGGCGUCCAUCGGAAGCUCUGGGAUAUGCAAGUUGCAGAGACGGUAGGCGCCCCCAUUGCUUCCUGCUUUUGGGAUGUGGCUGGGCAAGAAGAGGUCAGGCCAGGCAUCUCUUCCUGCAUGAGCAGACUGAGAGGGGCUGUCUGUCCUCUGGCUUCUGGGGCCCCAGUGGAAGUAUCCUGUUCCGCUGAGCUAGCUUUUCUCAGCCUCCCAGCAGGCUCUGCCAGAAGCAGGAUCAAAUGUUCCCCAGCUUAAAGAGAUGUCCCAGAAAGGGGACUGGUGAUACUGGGGUCACAGUCUGGGGGCUCAAGGACAGGCCCUGAGUUUCCCUUGCCUCUUUCUGUUUAACCUUCUACCUAACUGUCUUCUUUCUGUCCCCAGUCAUCCCUCCCUUGGAGACUGAACCCCAGGCUCACACUAGGCAAGCACUCGCCUACUAAGCUAUACCCAGGCUCUUUCCUCUUACAAAGUGGUCCAAGCUAGCCUUGAACUAUCUCUGUAGCCCAGGCAGACCAUGACUCAUUUGUGAUCUGAGAAUGAUGGGUUUGGGGGACAUGGAAAUUUGCAGCAGAUAUGGAGGGGCAGCUUGCAUGGCAUUUCCUGCAGGGGGCGCCAUUCACACAGAUUCCACAGGACCAGAGCUGUCCCUAGCCCCACCAAGCAUUGAAAGUAUGGGGCCACUCCCUCUGCUUUGGUGUGACCUAGGCCAGCAUCACCCUAGCCAGAGCCUCAUCACCCCCUUCUCUCUACAAUUCAACCCUAGGGACACGUGGGCCUGUGCCCCUCCCCCUCCGGUCCCCCUGGCCUGUCUCCUGCCUGACUCCACAGGAUGUGCUGGGUCUGCUAGUGUCCAGGGAGGGUUGGAAAUGCUGGAGUCCCCUGCCACAGGCCAAGCAGUUCAGAAAGCUCAGAGCCCAGGGGACUUACUGUUCUUUUAAUUAACUAGUCUCAUUGUUUGGCUCCGGUUCUUACAGGGAAUCCCCCAGUGCCUACCAGAGGGGAUAUGGAACAUUAAGAUUCAGGCAUGGCUGCAGGGAUGGAAGGGACCAACAGCUCAGCCCUUUGAAGAUAAUCCAGCCUGUUUAUUGCAUACUCUUUCUCUACCCCUACUUAAGGGCUUUCUGGGGCACCAGUGGGUUAAAAUGCCGCAGCCCAUACUAAAAACCACUUGCCUUCAUAGACCCCCCUCCAUCAUCUCUUUGGAGGCUGCAGGGUACUAAAGAAUAGAGAGGCUUAGCCACAGCCUUAAUACAACACAGCUAGUUACCAUGUAGCAACACUGGCAGCCAAGCCAGAGACUGACUAUUGAAAGCCUUUUGUUUCAGUGAAGUUUGUUCUUUUUUUAAAAGAUGUAUUUGUUUUUGUGUUAUGUGUGUGAGUGUUCUUCCUUCGUGUGUGUAAAUAAAUGUACUACAUGCACACUUGGUGCCGUA